rnacentral:rRNA from 1 species
UACGGAGGGUGCAAGCGUUGUUCGGAUUCAUUGGGCGUAAAGGGUGCGUAGGCGGCGCGGUAAGUCGGGUGUGAAAUCUUGGAGCUUAACUCCGAAACUGCAUUCGAUACUGCCGUGCUUGAGGACUGGAGAGGAGACUGGAAUUUACGGUGUAGCGGUGAAAUGCGUAGAUAUCGUAAGGAAGACCAGUGGCGAAGGCGGGUCUCUGGACAGUUCCUGACGCUGAGGCAUGAAGGCCAGGGGAGCAAACGGG